rnacentral:rRNA from 1 species
GACGAACGCUGGCGGCGUGCUUAACACAUGCAAGUCGAACGGAAAGGCCCUGCCUUUGUGGGGUGCUCGAGUGGCGAACGGGUGAGUAACACGUGAGUAACCUGCCCUUGACUUUGGGAUAACUUCAGGAAACUGGGGCUAAUACCGGAUAGGAGCUCCGGCUGCAUGGUGGGGGGUGGAAAGUUUCGGCGGUGGGGGAUGGACUCGCGGCUUAUCAGCUUGUUGGUGGGGUAGUGGCUUACCAAGGCGUUGACGGGUAGCCGGCCUGAGAGGGUGACCGGCCACAUUGGGACUGAGAUACGGCCCAGACUCCUACGGGAGGCAGCAGUGGGGAAUAUUGCACAAUGGGCGGAAGCCUGAUGCAGCAACGCCGCGUGCGGGAUGACGGCCUUCGGGUUGUAAACCGCUUUCGCCUGGGACGAAGCGUGAGUGACGGUAAUGGGUAAAGAAGCACCGGCUAACUACGUG